UAUGGAGGGUGCAAGCGUUAUCCGGAUUCACUGGGUUUAAAGGGUGCGUAGGAGGGCAGGGAAGUCAGUGGUGAAAUCCUAGGGCUUAACCCUAGAACUGCCGUUGAUACUCUCUGUCUUGAAUGCCGUGGAGGUGAGCGGAAUAUGUCAUGUAGCGGUGAAAUGCUUAGAUAUGACAUAGAACACCGAUUGCGAAGGCAGCUCGCUACACGAACAUUGACUCUGAGGCACGAAAGCGUGGGGAUCAAACAGG
rnacentral:rRNA from 1 species